ACCAGUAAUUUAAGCUGGUAGAGCAACGCAUUCGUAAUGCGUAGGUCGUAGGUUCGAAUCCCAUCGUCGGCUCCU
rnacentral:tRNA from 1 species